UACGAAGGGGGCUAGCGUUGCUCGGAAUCAUUGGGCGUAAAGCGCACGUAGGCGGUUAGUUUAGUCAGAGGUAAAAGCCCAGGGCUCAACCUUGGAACUGCCUUUGAUACUGGCUAUCUUGAGUCCGGGAGAGGUGAGUGGAAUUGCGAGUGUAGAGGUGAAAUUCGUAGAUAUUCGCAAGAACACCAGUGGCGAAGGCGGCUCACUGGCCCGGAACUGACGCUGAGACGCGAAAGCGUGGGGAGCAAACAGG
rnacentral:rRNA from 1 species